AGCCAUAAUUCCAGCACUUCCCAGAACAUUCCAGACUCUUCCAGAAUGUUCCAGAGCUGCAAUUCCAGAACUUUCCAGGCUUUUCCAGAGCUGUAAUCCCAGCACUUUCCAGAAUAUUCCAGAGCUAUAAUUCCAGAACUUUCCAGACCCUUCCACAGCUGUAAUUCCAGCACUUCCCAGAACAUUCCAGACCCUUCCAGAGCUGUAAUUCCAGCACUUUCCAGAGCUGUAAUUCCAGAACUUUCCAGAGCUGUAAUUCCAGACCCUUCCAGAGCCGUAAUUCCAGAACAUUCCAGAGCUGUAAUUCCAGGCCCUUCCACAGCCAUAAUUCCAGAACUUUCCAGGCUUUUCCAGAGCUGUAAUUCCAGCACUUCCAGGAACUUUUUCCUGUUCCAUCUCACAAUUCCAGGAACUUUUUCCUGUUCCAUCUCACAAUUCCAGGAACUUCUUCCCAUUCUAUCUCACAAUUCCAGGAACUUUUUCCCGUUCCAUCUCACAAUUCCAGGAACUUUUUCCCGUUCCAUCUCACAAUUGCAGCGGUUCCAGGACCUCUCCCGAGCGUCCCUGAGCCGCCUUGACCACCCAAAAAAACCCCAACCCCACCAAAACCGUGCUGGGAGCUGCUGGGAACACCCCAGGAACACCAAAAACCACCCCAAGAACACCAAAGAACACCCCAAGAACACCCAAAGAACACCAAAGAACACCCAGCAACACCCAAAGAGCAUUCAAGAACACCCAAAGAACACCCCAGGAACACCAAGGAACACUCAAGAACACCCAGAAACACUCCAGGAACACCAAAGAACACCCCAGGAACACUCCAAGAACACCCAGGAACACUCCAGGAGCACCCAGGAACACCCAGAAACACUCCAGGAACACCCAGCAACACUCCAAGAACACCAAAGAACACUCAAGAACACCCCAGGAACACCCAAAGAACACCCCAGGAACACCAAAGAACACCCCAGGAACACCCAAAGAACACCAAGGAACACCCAGAAACACUCCAGGAACACUCCAAGAACACCCAGGAACACUCAAGAACACCCAGGAACACCCCAGGAACACCCAAAGAACACCUCAGGAACACCCAAGAACACCCCA
rnacentral:lncRNA from 1 species